GGGGGAGCCCGGGAUCACCAGGUCGUCUAAGGAGGGGUGCACCGAUCCAGGUCGGAAACGGAGCAGGUCAAAGCCCCCGUGCUGCUCAGUAGUGGGAUUGUGCCUGUGAAUAGACGUUGUAGUGCAGCCUGAGUAACACAGCGGGACCCAGGCUUUU
ensembl:misc_RNA Metazoa_SRP Metazoan signal recognition particle RNA